ACGGGAGGCAGCAGUGGGGAAUAUUGCACAAUGGGGGAAACCCUGAUGCAGCGACGCCGCGUGAAGGAUGACGUAUUUCGGUAUGUAAACUUCUAUCAGCAAGGAAGAUGAUGACGGUACUUGACUAAGAAGCCCCGGCUAACUACGUGCCAGCAGCCGCGGUAAUACGUAGGGGGCAAGCGUUAUCCGGAUUUACUGGGUGUAAAGGGUGCGUAGACGGCUGUGCAAGUCAGAAGUGAAAUCCCGGGGCUUAACCCCGGUGCUGCUUUUGAAACUGUACGGCUAGAGUGCUGGAGGGGCAAGCGGAAUUCCUGGUGUAGCGGUGAAAUGCGUAGAUAUCAGGAGGAACACCGGUGGCGAAGGCGGCUUGCUGGACAGUAACUGACGUUGAGGCACGAAAGCGUGGGGAGCAAACAGGAUUAGAUACCCUGGUA
rnacentral:rRNA from 1 species